GGCAUCGAUGAAGAACGCAGCGAAAUGCGAUACGUAAUGUGAAUUGCAAAUUCAGUGAAUCAUCGAGUCUUUGAACGCACAUUGCGCCCCCUGGUAUUCCGGGGGGCAUGCCUGUCCGAGCGUCAUUGCUGCCCUCAAGCCCGGCUUGUGUGUUGGGUCUCGUCCUCCGAUUCUGGAGGACGGGCCCGAAAGGCAGCGGCGGCACCGCGUCCGGUCCUCGAGCGUAUGGGGCUUUGUCAUCCCGCUAUGUAGGCCCGGCCGGCGCUUGCCGAUCAACCCAAAUUUUUAUACCAGGUGACCCUCGGAUCAGGUAGGAUACCCGC
rnacentral:rRNA from 1 species